rnacentral:misc_RNA from 1 species
AACAUCGCGCACCUGCGGGAACCUGCGGAGGGAUCAUUACGAGAGUGUCACCACUCCCAACCCAUUGUUUACCUACCCGUCCACCGUGCUUCGGCAGGCAGCCCUGUGGGACAGAGCCUCGCCCCCUUUCGCGGGGGGUGCCUGCCGCUUGCCAACCAAAACUCUAGCUGUUUUAGUACCAUCUGAGUCUUCCACAAAUGAACAAAACUUUCAGCAACGGAUCUCAGAUCGGAAGAGCAC